rnacentral:ncRNA from 1 species
AUAAAGUUUUAUUCUUGCUUUUUAUUGAAUUUUUUUAUUUUAUAAAUAUAUAGUAUUAUAUAGAUUAAUUUUUAUAUUAUAAAGAUUUUUUUAAUUUUAAUUAAUGUAAUAGAAAUAAAAUUUUUAGUUAGUAAAAAUUGUGCCAGCAACUGCGGUUAAACAAUUAGCUACAUUCAAUAUUUAUAUAAAUUUUAAUUUUUUGAGUUAUUAAUUUUUUAAUAUAUUUUAAGUGAAAUUUAAUAUAUGAAUAUUUAAUUUUAAGUAUUGAUUUAAUAAAAUUAAUAAAAUAAACUAGGAUUAGAUACCCUAUUAUAAUUAAUAUAAAUUAAAUUUAGAGUAGUAAAUGAUAUGGUCAGGAAACUUAAAGAAUUUGGCGGUAAUUAUUCUAAAUAGAGGAACAUGUUUAUAAUCGAUAAUCCACGAGUAUCUUUCUUACUUUAAUAACUUUGUGUAUUUCCGUCUUAAAAAAAUAUUAUAAAAUAUAUUUUUAAUUUCUUUAUUGAAAUAAGUCAGGUCACAAUGCAGGGUAUAAUUAAGAAAAAAUGUGUUACAAUAAAUUUAUUUACGGAAUAUUAAUGAAAAAUAUAAGAAGUUGGAUUUAUAAGUAAAUUAUUUUUUAUAAAAAAUAAUUGAAUUUAGUAAAUAAAUAUGUACAUAUUGCCCGUCAUUCUCUUUGAAAAAGAGACAAGUCGUAACAAAGUAGAUUUACUGGAAAGUGAAUCUGGAAUCAAGA